CCCUUAGAUGCUCUGGGCCGCACGCGCGCUACACUGGUCGAUGCAACGAGUUUCUUUCCUUGGCCGACAGGCCUGGGCAAUCUUUGAACAUCGAUCGUGAUCGGGAUAGAUUCUUGUAAUUUUUGAUCUUAAACGAGGAAUUCCUAGUAAACGCAAGUCAUCAGCUUGCAUUGAUUACGUCCCUGCCCUUUGUACACACCGCCCGUCGCACCUACCGAUUGAAUGGUCCGGUGAAAUCUCCGGACUGGCGUGAGUCGGAGCAAUCUGACAAACACCGGAAAGUUGAUUAAACCUUACCAUUUAGGGGAAGGUGAAGUCGUAACA
rnacentral:rRNA from 1 species